GGAAGGGUCGCAUAGCCCGGUUGAUUGCGCCGCUUUCGAAAAGCGGUAGGCUCGCAAGGGUCUCGUGGGUUCAAAUCCCACCCCUUCCG
rnacentral:tRNA from 2 species